CGGGCAGGUUUUGGAAGGAACUGGUUAAGUUUGAGAAGCAGGGUAAAAUGUGUGAGAUGAGAUGGGGUAACACAGAACAGCAAAGUGAUGCACAAAGGAAAUUUUGUACUAUGCUCUGGGAAAUUUGUCCAUUGAAAGUCAUCUGGCCUAGAGAGAUCUGAGCACUGGACUCAACUAUGGGUGACUAUGGAGAACAAAUGUGAGGUGACUAUGAAAAAUUAAAACCAGCCCAAAUAAGUAUGAAAGCUAGUGUGGAGGAAGGAUAUGCUGAGCCCUAAUGAAGAUGCUGGCAAGCUCUGACUAACUCAACUCCAAUAAUACACUUUUAAGAGAGAGAAAUUUUACUGAAAUCAAAUCAGCAGAGAAAGCAAACCCGGGAAAUGGGAAUUUCAGUCCGAGGAGAAACGCGAUGGUGCCCUCGCUUGUGAGCUGUGAAGGGCAGAUCUGCCUCCGGGUUUCAGCAGACUAUUGUUCAGCCAUCUUUCAUUCAUCGUUGGGAAUGAGAGCUAAUUAACUCCUAGCCUGUUUCAUAACGGAGAGACUAGCCUCUCUAAGAGAUUACCGUAAUGCCCUGCCGCAAGGUUCACCGGGCUGCUUCCUCUGGCAGGGAAUGCCACCACUGUGAGAGCAUCGCGCGCGGGAAGAAAUCCAGCCAUUUUAUUCCGACCACAUCGUGCCCUUCACUGGUUAUAAACAAAAAGGAUUAACUAAAAAUGAGACUAUCUGCAGCUGGGUUCUGGAUCAAUUAGGAAAUGGGGAAACAGCAAGAGCAGGCAUCUCUCCAAUGUGGUGAGGAAUAUCUGUGCAGAAGCAGCACGGUAAAGGAAUGAGGGUCAGGCUUAAACCUGCAGUUCACACUUGGUCCUUUUUAGACAAACGUGUUAGGGCUGUGUGCGGGCCGGCCUGUGCCUCAUUUGUGGGCUGUCUCAGGGAAUUAAAAGGAUCGAUUUAACUCUUGCCUGGGAGGAUCUGCACUUGGUGGCAAGCAGUGGAGUGGAGGCGGGCUUCUCUAUGUCUAUGACAUGGGAUGGUGGCUUCUGAUGGUGGUUGAAAAGAGUCUGUCAGGAGCUCUGGGGAUAUCUAUGGUUAUCUGCAUUCAAGCAGCCCACACCUCCAACAAGCCAUGCAGAAUCAGAGGUGAAGGAAUGAAAGGGUUUUGGGGUGCAAACAAGCCAGCUCCAGACAAAGCCUCAGAGGUUUUCAGAUAGGACCCCUAGAGGCAGGAAGCAUGGAGAAAGAUCUAUAGGAUAAACUUCUCACUUACCUGCACAUGUUGGCAACCACCACACCUGCUCAGCUGCAGGUUUGGGUAUGAGGGUCACAGCUCUACUAACUAACACCUGGAUUUUAGUUCACCUUCUAAGGUGGGAUAGCAGCAAGAGCCACACUGCUCCUGGGGCUGUCCCACUGCUGGCCCAGCUGCUGAAAGUUCCAUCUGUCUUUACAGGUGGGUUAUAAACAGGGGUGGUUAUGAAUGCUUUCAGAUGCCAACCAGUUCUCGAUCCUGACAAGCAAGCAUCUCUUCCUAUCCGAGCAUUACACAGUGCUCUAAAAACCUUCAAAGACACUCUCCUAAAGACUGUUUUACAUCAGGACACUGGAGCGCACUGGAUGACUUCUUCAAGGUCACACACAAAACCAGCAUGGCAUAGACUGCAGGUUGCUUAAAUCCCCAAAGAUAACACAUCUCCUUGCUUCCCUGAGGCUUUUGGAAAUCUUUUGUCAUGACAGGCCACAAAGUUGCAUUUUCUUCACAUUACUGAAGCAAGUAAGAAAUCCAAAGGUGGCAAGUAUUGUGCAAACACUGUAGCUGAUGGCACACAGGCAAAGAAGCUGUUCUGGUGGAAGGUGAGCACAAGACAAUGAGGGGAAGAGAAAAACCGAAAUGAAUGAGAUGCCAGCACAAACCCAAAAUCUGAAAAUGAGAACUUCUCUCUUUUUGUUAGGUUUUGGUGCUAAGGAUUUUUUAAGUGCUGAGAUAACCGCACCAUAUAUAGUAUAUUCGUCGUAUAUACAGUACCUAUGCAUAUAAAGCAUAUACCAUUGAAUUUUGUG